rnacentral:rRNA from 1 species
CCCUUAGAUGUUCUGGGCCGCACGCGCGCUACACUGACGAAGUCAGCGAGCAUGUCCUACGCCGACAGGUGCGGGGAAUCUUGUCAAACUUCGUCGUGAUGGGGAUUGAUUUUUGAAAUUCUUGAUCAUAAACGAGGAAUUCCUAGUAAGCGCAAGUCAGCAGCUUGCGUUGAUUACGUCCCUGCCCUUUGUACACACCGCCCGUCGCUACUACCGAUUGGAUGGUUUAGUGAGAUCUUCGGAUUGGCGCCACUGCAGCUCAGCAAUGGGCUUGGUGGAUGCCGAAAAGUUGAUCAAACUUGAUCAUUUAGAGGAAGUAAAAGUCGUAACA